CCCACUCUUGCGUAAGUGGUCUGCGCGCCUGACUGAAAAUCAGGAGGACGAGGUUCGAUUCCUCGGGGUGGGA
rnacentral:tRNA from 1 species